rnacentral:piRNA from 1 species
UUCCCAGUGAUGAUUCUGUGAGGGAAGU